UAUCACACAUUAUAAAGUUAUGCAAUUUAUUAUGAGAAUUAACAAAGGUUUGAAAGAUGAGUUCCCUGGUGGAAUACACAAUAACCAGGAGGAAGGAGCCAUUAAGAGUAAAAACACUUGCGAGGUAGAGAGUACCUCAUUGUGGGCUUAGUUCUGGAAAAGAUUCAGUCCUGAUAUGAGAUUGAGAGCUUGGAGAAGAGCCUUAGAAGUCUAGUAGUCCAAAUUAUUUUGCAGAUGAAAAAACAGGCUUAGGGACAUUGUGACACAUGGGGCAACUAGGUGUCAGUUCAUAGAGCAUUGGGCCUGGAGUCACAGAGAACUACUGCAACUCUGGUCUCAGACACUAGCCGUGUGACCCUGGGCAAGUCACUUAACCCUUUUGCCUCAGUUUCCUCAUCUGUAAGAUGAGCUGAAGAAGGAAAUAGCAAACCACUCUAGUAUUUUUGCCAAGAAAACUUCUCUUGGGGUCACGAAGAGUCAAAUAGGACUAAUGACCCAGCAACAACAAAAGUCCCAUGAGAAGUAGGCAAAAAAAGCAAGGUUUGAACCCAGCUCUAACUCCAAACCAAAUGCUCAGAUUUCUAAGAAUGAGACUAAUUAUUCUAGUCCCCCAUUUCACAAGGAAGUAAGAACAAUUUUUAGUGUUUAAUAAGGAUAGUACUAUUUGAAGAGCAUCACUCGUCUAUAACAGGGGGUGGGGAGCCUUUUUCUUGCAAAGGGCCAUUUGGAUAUAACUUCAUUUGUGGGCCAUGCAAAAUUAUCAACUCUUAGAACUCAAGCAGUGGGAAGUAGAUGUACCCAACUUUCAGCUCAUUAUCACUUGUGGAUGUCUUAGCAGAUGUUUUUGUGGGCCUUAUAAGGCCUUCGGGUUGGUCUUUCCCCACCCUGGUCUAUAUAUGGUCUAUAUAAUUGUGAAAUUGUUUGUAGUUUAAACAGAAUAGCUUAGUUGAUCUAUUUUGAGAUGUGAAAGUGUGAAAAAACCGCAAAAAUUUCUGACCUUUAUUAUCAGAUUGAACCUUGAGGCAUCCUACUAUUUUCUCAAGGAGAAUGAGGAUAAUACACUUAAUUGAAAAGAAAAUUCCUUGUGACCUUACCCUGUUCUAAAAAAAAU
rnacentral:lncRNA from 1 species